rnacentral:rRNA from 1 species
GAUGAACGCUGGCGGCGUGCCUAAUACAUGCAAGUCGAGCGAACAGACGAGGAGCUUGCUCCUCUGACGUUAGCGGCGGACGGGUGAGUAACACGUGGAUAGCCUACCUAUAAGACUGGGAUAACUUCGGGAAACCGGAGCUAAUACCGGAUAAUAUAUUGAACCGCAUGGUUCAAUAGUGAAAGACGGUUUUGCUGUCACUUAUAGAUGGAUCCGCGCCGCAUUAGCUAGUUGGUAAGGUAACAGCUUACCAAGGCAACGAUGCGUAGCCGACCUGAGAGGGUGAUCGGCCACACUGGAACUGAGACACGGUCCAGACUCCUACGGGAGGCAGCAGUAGGGAAUCUUCCGCAAUGGGCGAAAGCUUGACGGAGCAACGCCGCGUGAGUGAUGAAGGUCUUCGGAUCGUAAAACUCUGUUAUUAGGGAAGAACAAAUGUGUAAGUAACUAUGCACGUCUUGACGGUACCUAAUCAGAAAGCCACGGCUAACUACGUG